rnacentral:rRNA from 1 species
AACGAACGCUGGCGGCAGGCUUAACACAUGCAAGUCGAGCGAGACCUUCGGGUCUAGCGGCGGACGGGUGAGUAACGCGUGGGAACGUGCCCUUCUCUACGGAAUAGCCCCGGGAAACUGGGAGUAAUACCGUAUACGCCCUGUGGGGGAAAGAUUUAUCGGAGAAGGAUCGGCCCGCGUUGGAUUAGGUAGUUGGUGGGGUAAUGGCCCACCAAGCCGACGAUCCAUAGCUGGUUUGAGAGGAUGAUCAGCCACACUGGGACUGAGACACGGCCCAGACUCCUACGGGAGGCAGCAGUGGGGAAUCUUAGGCAAUGGGGGCAACCCUGAUCGAGCCAUGCCGCGUGAGUGAUGAAGGCCUUAGGGUUGUAAAGCUCUUUCAGCUGGGAAGAUAAUGACGGUACCAGCAGAAGAAGCCCCGGCUAACUCCGUG